AGCUCCAAGGAAGCCAUGGCUACAACAUCGAGGAAAGCAUGGUUGCGGUGUUGGAAGAUUAGAGAGCAUUAUAUAUUUGCCUGAGGCUAGAGUGUCACGGCUUUGAAGAAAUAGCACCGCGGUGCCACAAGCAACAUCAUGGUACCUUGGUGCCACACUGUUUUCCAAAAAUAUGUUUUAUGCAGGAUUAUGGAAAUUAGUGUAAUUUAAACCUAUUUAAAGGACCUUUUUUAGAGCAUUCAGAAGGGAGAACAACAACAAUAACUUUUCUAGAGAUUUUGAGUUAAGAAUCAAGCAAGAAAACAAGAGCAUUUGAGAGAAAUUCAAGAUCACAAAGCUUCACAUUAAUUUCUUUCUCUAAUUCUUAAUUUCUUUGACUUGAAUUCAUGGCUAAAUUUCUUUGGAUAAUAUUUUCUUUAGAUAUCAUGAACUAAUUUGUUUUUCUAAGAUUAUGGUGGAUUUCAACAUGUAGUUUGAAUA
rnacentral:lncRNA from 1 species